rnacentral:misc_RNA from 1 species
UAAAUACUAAUGAAGAUAAUUUUUUUUCUUUUCAAUUCCUUAAUGAAAAUCAUGUCAUUCCAAAGAAGUUAGUAAACAUCAAAUGCAAUGGGGUAAAGGUAAUGACCCAACCCAAGCAUACCAAAGGUGGGAGUAAAACUUGACCACACGAGCCUUUGUUUGCAAUACAGAUUAUCUUGUUACAAUCAUUACUGUAAAUAAAUAACAAUAUCAAAUACUGAAAAAUGCCACAAAAUACACUUGAUAAUCUUCUGAACUGAAACAGCUCAAAAUGCAACCAUAACUGAACUGAUCAAAUUCAUAGACCUACUGUAGUUGCAGAGCCCCAUUGAAUAUUAAGUAUGAAACAAGCAGAAGCAAAGCCUAUCUGAAAGUAAAGAUCAUUUGUCCCAUGUACAGGGCCUACCGAGAGACUUAAGCCCUAAAUUGCAGAACUCUCGAUAUAAAUCCUGACUGGAAAAUCUGGAAAGCUGGUAUUUCGAGUACAUUGUUUUAUCUUUGCACAAACACACAUCAUGAAACACAGAAGACACCAGCCUGCACAUUGUGAUCAAUUACAGAAAUGACUACCAUGAAAAUAAAAAAACUAAACUCAUUCCAAAAUAUGAGCAUCAUGCAUUUUCUUACAUCUUUCACAAUAAAGCUAUCCACAAAACUCAAUGGUGGCAUUAACCAUUCUGACAAGUAGACAGACUUAUUAUGAUUAUUUUCAGUAGAAAUAUGAUCAUCUGAAAACCAAUUAAAUUGUGUAUUAGAAUUCAAAGAUGAAAUACGGCUUUUUUACUAUCACCAUGAUAAAUAGAAAUUAUUGAUAUUUUUAGAAGAAAGAAAUUUAUGAACCUGAGGCUUGUAUUAGUAUUCUGAGCGUGACAAAGGACUGCCAGAUAGAAGGCAUAUACUCACGAUACAUAAGUUGAUGCACUUUAUUUGUUACACUUGAAGCCGCUGAAUCUGGUGAGCAUGGCCUUUUAAGGUUCCAUUUCACUUCAUUUGCUGCAUAUCUAUUGCCCAGAAUGGUUGCUUUUGCUGCAAUAACAAGCAUAGGAUGCACCAGGACAAGCUUUUUAAUCUCCUGAACUACAGUGACUGACACAUUUUGGAGAGAGAGACCUUUCCUAUUAUUGGCCCCAAGGUGAAAUGAUGUUGAAGCCCGAUCUACCCAGUGAAAAGCUCCAAUACUGUCAAUCAUUAGGAAAUUAACACCAAUUCCUUGAGCUUGCCUUUCCUGUUGAAGCUGGUAAUGCAAUGUCUUGAGAGUAGCAAGAAAUUCAAGAGUAUCAUAACAACGGAUAUAGAGAAAUCGUCUCAUGCAUUCUACAAAUAAUUCCUCAUCAUUUGAUUGAUUCUUAUUUGCCUGGAAAAUUCGAUUGCGGAGCAUUUGGGAUAGGCGUAAGAUGUCAAAACGACAAUCCAAAUCAAUGAACAAUACUAAGUGACCCAAUCCUCCAUAGUGUUUUGGAAGAAUGCAAUCGAUUGCAGCCUGCAUGAGGAUGUGGGUUUUGGCACAAGGAGAAGGGCCAACGAGCUCCACUACAUUACCGACGCGAAGAGGAAAUUUUUGAAAAGGAGGAAGAUGCAAAUACGGGCGCUCUGUAAGAAGCCUAGACAGCAUCUCUCUGCCGCUCUCAUCUCCAUCAAUCCAACCUCUAACUUCCAUUGUCAUCGAAUGCGACAUUUUUUUUGUCAUUUUUCAAAUUCCAGGUGCCACAACAUGUUUAAUAGCGGGAAAGGAGCUAAACCUGCAAUUGGGAGAGAGUUUUUG